rnacentral:tRNA from 1 species
AUAUUUGUUUUUAAAUA